UGGGGAAUAUUGCACAAUGGGCGCAAGCCUGAUGCAGCCAUGCCGCGUGUAUGAAGAAGGCCUUCGGGUUGUAAAGUACUUUCAGCGGGGAGGAAGGGAGUAAAGUUAAAACCUUUACUCAUUGACGUUACCCGCAGAAGAAGCACCGGCUAACUCCGUGCCAGCAGCCGCGGUAAUACGGAGGGUGCAAGCGUUAAUCGGAAUUACUGGGCGUAAAGCGCACGCAGGCGGUUUGUUAAGUCAGAUGUGAAAUCCCCGGGCUCAACCUGGGAACUGCAUCUGAUACUGGCAAGCUUGAGUCUCGUAGAGGGGGGUAGAAUUCCAGGUGUAGCGGUGAAAUGCGUAGAGAUCUGGAGGAAUACCGGUGGCGAAGGCGGCCCCCUGGACGAAGACUGACGCUCAGGUGCGAAAGCGUGGGGAGCAAACAGG
rnacentral:rRNA from 1 species